AAGAAAUUAGCUCAAUGGUAGAGCAACCGUUUUACACACGGAAGGCUAUGAGUUCGAAUCUCCUAUUUCUUAUAA
rnacentral:tRNA from 1 species